UCCGGAGUAGCUCAACGGUAGAGCGGGUGGCUGUUAACCACUAGGUUGGGGGUUCAAAUCCCUCCUCCGGAG
rnacentral:tRNA from 1 species